GAUGAACGCUGGCGGCGUGCCUAAUACAUGCCAGUCGAGCGAACAGACGCGGAGCUUGCUCCUCUGACGUUAGCGGCGGACGGGUGAGUAACACGUGGAUAACCUCCCUAUAAGACUGGUAUAACUUCGGGAAACCGGCGCUAAUACCGGAUAAUAUAUUGAACCGCAUGGUUCAAUAGUGAAAGACGGUUUUGCUGUCACUUAUAGAUGGAUCCGCGCCGCAUUAGCUAGUUGGUAAGGUAACGGCUUACCAAGGCGACCAUGCGUAGCCGACCUGAGGGGGUGAUCGGCCACCCUGGAACUUGGACACGGUCCAGACGCCUACGGGAGGCAGCAGUAGGGAAUCGUCCGCAACGGGCGAAAGCAUGACGGAGCAACGCCGCGCGAGUGAUGAAGGUCUUCGGAGCGUAAAACUCUGUUAUUAGUGAAGAACAAAUGUGUACGUAACUAUGCACGUCUUGACGGUACCUAAUCAGAAAGCCCCGGCUAACUACGUG
rnacentral:rRNA from 1 species